AUUUUUUUUUAUUUUAGAUAAUGUUUAUUUUGUUUCAAGUAACUUUUUUGGUUUGGUUUUCAUUUUAGUUUUAGCAACUAUAAUAACCCUACCUUCAAAGUACAGUUAAAUUAUAUUUGUGCAUGGCCUUUUACAUUGGUUGUUAAAGUUAUUGCACAAAAACAAGAAUUCUUGAAGAGGGCAAGCCUCUGUCCUCUGACAACCACCAACACAUUUGUUUUAUGUGCCAACAGCCCCUGAACUAUUUAGGGAUAUCAGUCAGGAUUAAAAGAGAAUGGAAAGCACAGCUCAGAUCUAUUCAAUGACCUACUUGAAACUUUUCCUUUUGAGUUUUGUUCUAUAAUGUCAAAAUAUAGCCUCCGACUUUCCAUAUGACUGAAUUUCCAUUGAAACUGCACUGUUGAUCUACUUUGUCCUGUUGUCCUGGUUUACGGUCUAUAUGUGCACAGGAAACUUUCAGAGCAAUCAAAAAGCACAAGGUACACAACACGUCAGAUGACACCCAAAAUGAAGAAAUAUUGAAAAUCUCUUUAUGUUGCAAGACCAAAAGAAGAACACAAGACAUUCGGCCAAAAAUACUUAUAUUGCAAAAGAUAUAAGAAUUAUGACAGCAGAUAAAUCUGUGUAUAGCUAAGAUAAAUAUUAAAAUUGACCUUUAAACCUUGCCUUAGACUGACAGCAAAUUGCUACUGGCUAGCUCAGCAGAAAGAGUUUCAUCACUGACCGGUCAAAGGUUGAAAGAUGGACGUGAUUCUGGCCUACUGUUCACCGACUGAACGAAGAGGACAAACCUGAAGGUCUUCUGAAACCCACGAUUCAACCAAAUAACAGGGUUGGACUAUUUACACUGCAGCAUUACCUCCCCGUAGCCAAUAGGACAAACGUUCAUUUGCACACAUAACUAUCUGGAUGUGUGUCAUUUGUAUACAAUUCAGUGCCAAAGGCUUUCAUCAUGUCUCCACUAAUCAAAUGUCAAACAACACAACAGAUUAAGGAAUCAACACACAAAAUCAGGAUCAUUUGGAGGAUUCCAUGAUGGAGAUGUGAUGGGUUGGAUCGGCUCCAUAUUAGGUCCCCAAACUUGGUGGUGUGUUUUUGUGGCGUUGAUCAAAUUCCUCCUCAGCCGGGCCUGAGAGCGUCAAAUAUCCAAAGCCAAUGCCUGCCUGAGGACGAUGGGGCCUGUUCCAUCUUUUCUUAUACAAGCAGCCCAGUUGGAGACAGCAAAGCUUUCCUGCAUGAGCUUUAGAUCGCAAGGCAGCCUCCCUCUAUGAUCAAUGUGUUUAACCCCUGUGCACAAGGUAGAUGCAUGGAUCCUCACUGUGAAACCAAGAACAUCUGGCCCCCUCAUUGGACAUCAGUGUGACUCUGACAGCCAGGAACUAUUGGCCUCAUUAGCUAAAGGAGAAAAAGGGAAAGAAAGCGAGUGAUGCCUAAUUUCCCUUCCUUUCACAGUCUGGUUCUCCAAACACCGAAGCCCUGAAGCACGCUAAGCCUCUUACCUCUCUCUGUCUCUCUCUUUUUCCUCCUCAAACCAGUUCUGAAGUCUUUUCUGCUCCCCUUCACCCUAACCCACUUUAAAAGCUAUUCUCCUCCAGCUCAAUGCAAAUAAGGCCAUUUCAUUUUACUAUGCUGGCAGUACGUCUCCCACUAAAAGGAAUGGGAAGCGGUGGCACACUCCAUCUGUGCGCGGGAUGUGGUUCCUUUUAAUGCCGUGGCAAUUUUUCUUUUAGAGUAUUACCAGAGUUAGCACCGAGGGCUGUGAAUAUUUCUGCUAGUAUAUAAAAUGCAGUUAUAAUCUGCAAACGGCCUUGAGUUCACAUUCAAUUUCAUGACAUGUUUGCUCACCAGGUUGUGUGGUAUUAGACGGCUGUAAGAAAGCCUUGUUUUUUUUAUCCAUGAAAAUGCAGUGUGAUGCAAAGAACUGAAUGAAUGCAUGUAACUGCUGAGUCAACAGCUCAGACCUGGUACUAGAAAGCAUAAACUCGCGCAUCUGAGGGAAAAAUCAAACCCCUCUCAUUGCCAAUUUUCAUGUUUUUACUUAUAUUCUUUUUUUAGAACAAAAUUGUCCUUUCAAUUCAGUAUAAUAUAUACAUUUUUAUCAUUAUAUUAUAUUCUUUGAUAUUUUUAUUUAAUAUUGUCAUGAUUCCAGCCUGUGUUCCCCUGUCUUGUGUAGACUUUUAUGUAAUUUCCUGUUAUGUUUCUGUUCUUAUAGUCCUUUUGUUGAUUGCUUACCUGUUCAUUAAAGGGUUAGUUCACCCAACAAUGAAAAAAAUUUAAUUUAUUACUUACCCUCAUGUCGUUCUACACUCGUAAGGCCUUCGUUCAUCUUCACCAAAAAACAUAAAUAAAAAUAAUGAAUUCUCAACAAUAUCUGUAUUGGCCAAUUUCAAAACACUGCUUCAAGAAGCUUCUGAGCUUUAUGAAUCUUUUGUUUCGAAUUAGUGAUUCGGAUCUCCUAUCAAACGGCUAAACUGCUGAAAUCACGUGACUUUGGGGCUCCGAUUCACUGAUUCGAUUCGUAAAGCUCUGAAGCAGUGUUUUAAAAUCGGCCCAUAUAGAUAUUAUUGAAAAGUCGUUAUUUUGCUUUUUUGGUGCACAAAAAGUAUUCUUGUCGCUUUAUAAUAGUAAGAUAGAACCACUGAACUCACAUGAACUGUUUCAAAUAUGUUUUUAGUACUUUUAUGAACCUUGAGAGUUUCAAUGGCUUUGCUCUCAAUAGAGGCCUCACUGAGCCAUCGGAUUUCAUCAACAAUAUCUUAAUUUGUGUUUGAAGAUAGAAAAAGGUCUUACCGGUGUAGAACGACAUGAGGGUGAGAAAUAAAUGAAAUUAUUUUCAUUUUUUGGUGAACUAACCCUUCAAACUUGAUUGUUCCCAGGUGUGUCUUGUUGUUAGCCCUGUGUUCUUUGUCAGGUCUUGUCCUACUUGGCUGUAUAUCGGUGCGACUCAGUUCCGUUCCUGUGGAUUUAUUUUGUUCUGUUCCUGGUUCUUGGCUGUAUGUUUUUAUUAAUAAAAACCCAACUGUAUUUGGAUCCAGCUCCCUGAGCUCCUGAAAUAAUGAGCAUGCUGAAGUAUUAAAUAUUUUAGAGAAGUUAUUGUAUUGAGAAUGAAUGUCCAACCUUAAACCCAACUGUCAGUGGGGCGCAAGCAGAUCAUACAAAAACGUAUAAUGAGAUUGUAUGAAUUCACCACCAAGUCACAAAUGAAAAUUGGUUCCGAAUUGAAUCAGCUUUAGAGUGUCAAGGCAGGACAUAUGACACUCAUUGACAGACCAAUGAGAC